AUAAGAAUAGUUUAAAUAAAAUGAUGAACUGUGGAUUCAUAGAUUCACUGAGUGAUUCUUAUC
rnacentral:tRNA from 1 species